rnacentral:rRNA from 1 species
CGGGGUGCAGCAGGCGCGAAGUCUUUACACUACACGAAAGUGUGAUAAGGGAACCCUGAGUGCUCAUGCGUUGCAUGGGCUUUUGCCAAGAGUAAAUAUCUUGGAGAAUAAGUGGUGGGCAAGACCGGUGCCAGCCGCCGCGGUAACACCGGCGCCACAAGUGGUGGCCGUGUAUUUGGCCUAAAGCGUUCGUAGCUGGUUAGUUAAAUCUCUUGUGAAAUCGUUGGGCUCAACCUAACGGCGCGCAGGAGACACUGGCUGACUUGAGACCGGGAGGAGCUAGAGGUAUUCUGUGGGGAGCGGUAAAAUGCUAUAAUCCAUAGAGGACCACCGAUGGCGAAGGCAUCUAGCUAGAACGGAUCUGACAGUGAGGGACGAAAGCCAGGGGAGCAAAUUGGAGAAGGUCUUCUUCUCCAAGCUUAGAACGGAUUAGAUACCCGAGUAGUCCUGGCUGUAAACGCUGCGAGUUAGGUGAUGCACAUUCCUAGAGAAUGUGCAGUAUCGAAGCGAAAGCGCAAAACUCGCCGCCUGGGGAGUAUGGUCGCAAGGCUGAAACUUAAAGGAAUUGGCGGGGGAGCACCACAAGGGGUGCGGCGUGCGGUUUAAUUGAACUCAACGCCGGAAAUCUCACCAGGGGCGACGGCAGAAUGAAGGUCAGUCUAAAGGGCUUACCUAACGAGCCGAGAGGAGGUGCAUGGCCGUCGUCAGCUCGUGCCGUAAGGUGUCCAGUUAAGUCUGGUAACGAGCGAGACCCGCACC